CGCUGAACCUGGUGAAGAGGACGCAUGGACCUAAAGGAUACCGCUGAACACCUAGAAAUCGCAGAGAGGCUGCAGAUGACAGAAAGUGUUCAUCUGGAAUUACAGACCAGAAGAGUCAGGAAUUCAGGAACCAACAGGAUUGAUGGGUAUCUCUGCCCAUUUACUCAUUCAAUGGAUAUUUACAGAGUAUCUAUUAUAUAGACUAUCUACAGGCACAGGAGUACUCGGUCACAUCAAUGAAAAAACCAGGUCAGCUCUCCCAUACCUCCUAGGCCGAUACUGUACAACGCAGUAGCCGCUAGUCGCAUGUGGCUACAGACAGAGAAAAUUACACGCUCAGUAUCUUGGUCACAUUAGCUCCAUUUCCAGGGCUUCACAGCCACACUGUGGCUUGACCGCCAGCACAGGUGCAGGGCGUUUCCAUCAGCUCAGAAAGCCACACCGGGGAGUGUUGUUCUAGACGAGCAGAUAAGAAUAGAUGAUUGAUUGACUGACUGGUAUGUCAGAUGCAAAGAAAAGUGUGGUAAGGAGAGAAACUAAUAAUGGGAAGGUGAGGAGAAAGGAGGGUAUUUAGAGAGAAAGUGAGGGAGCGAGUUUGGAGACAUCUGGACAGAGUCUUCCAAGCACUGGUAACACA